UAUACCAAGCCGGCUUUUUUUUAUUAUUUUAAAUCUGGCUUUUUCCUCACAAGUGAGGUCUCUGUUGAUUUUGGGAUGCUCACACUAGGAAAGCUGUCUUUCCUCUGCAUCCUAUAAGCUACAGCAGAUGAUCGUUGUGCAUUUCUUCACCUUUCAUGCGUUAGACAGCAAAUACAGCAAGACACCAUGUGCCUCUGACAAGUAUCCACAGAGUACGGGGCACGGGCUGCACACAGGUCUGGCCACUUGCUGUGAGUUCUUGUUUGGAUCCACUGUGUCCUCCUGUCAGGUCUAUUCCUCAGGUCCUCUGGGAGGCUAUAAUCCUUUCUCACAAGGAAGUCCUCAGCUGUGAAAGGGAGCUUUGGAGAGGUAGGGUUUGGAGGAGUUUGUAACUGAGAGCCCUCACUCUGUUCAGUGGACCCAGGAGGGCUCCAAGGAGACACACACCUCGCCUGAGAUCCCACCAUCGCUGUGGCUCCCAACAGUUGCUGUAGCAGGCCAGAGGGAGACCAGUGCCACGGAGCUCCCAAGUGCUCCCUGCAGCUCCAGGAAGAGGCACCAUGUGAACGAAGGGCUACAUCCCUCAGGGCCUUCACUGUGCUGCACACCUCAGACUUCUGCCUCCUCGGAGCUGACGCUAACUGACCACAUACAUUGUGUCUUUCAAAAGAGCAGCUGAAUAACAUAUUCCCAGAAGACUGUCUCAUUGCAGCCUGGAGCUUCUCUGAUAGAUGCUGGGCUUUGUCUUCCCCAGGGAGCAGCAGCAUGGAGCUGGGGUGAGGUGGAAGUCAGAAGAAGCCGCAGAAGGUCUCACUCCUCACUAGUACUUCACUUCACAUGUGACAGUGUCACCAUCAUGUGUCAGUGCCAUAUGCUAUGGCCUCGACUUCAGGAAUGACAACCCAAACCUGUCCUUUCAGUUCCUUGAACAACCCUCAAAUACAUUAUAGCAACAAUCAAAAUCAGUUCUCUUGUGGAAGUAUUUAAAAUAGCAAACUAUUUUUUUCUUCCUUAAAAUAAACAACCUGAAAACCUGGAAUACUAUUAGCAACAACAACUAUGAAACCUGGUGUGAAUAAGCAAUAAACAUUUGUUUAAUUGAUGAAUGGUGCUGUUGUGGCUUUUCCUUAGCAGUCAACCUCAAGCCCAGCUGUGCCAGUGUGAGCACAAGUCCACAGCUCUCUCCUUAAGGCCAGCUCCUGCUAUUCAUUUCAGCUUAGGAUUAUUAAUGUUAAGUUACUGUAAGGAGCUCUGUAAAGAAAGCUGUGGUCAGUUUCAUUUCAUCCAGAAAUGGCUUCUAGGGACCUGUCCUGUGUUCUUCAAUACUAAGAUGUCUGGCUCCUUGACAAACCUGUGGCCAGCCAAGUAAAAGGUGGCACUUCCUUACGGGACAUGGCUUUAUGUUAUUAGUUAUUAUCUAGAGAGAAGUACCUCUGGGUGGUCUUACAGGGAGCAGUCUUUGACUCUUGUAUAAUUGGUAUAUGAAGUAGAAGCAAAUGCUUAAAUUUUGAAUUACAUAUUUAUGUUCACACAUUCUGCCUUGUGUGCUGACCAGCACAGGCAGUCAUGAUAUAUUUGAGAGUAAAGUGUUAACAACUUGAAGGGUCAUCAGAGCAUGGGGAUGCUAGUGAGGAUGUCUUCUGACCUACAUCCCUAGGCUGUGCCUCCUUUAGCCUCUAAAGCAGAUGCUGUCUUCUCAUUAUCUCUACUUCAGUGUGACUGUUCUCCACUGAAAUGCAGUGGCUGCUCGCUGUACCUAAUGAGAAGAUGCACAAGUUGACAGAAGAGAUCCAGAGUGGCCCAGGCAUUCUGUCAGGCUUUGUAGCAUGUCUUCAGAAGGACCCAAAAUAUCCUCCCCAAAUGACACCCAGAUCAUGUCUAGGUGUUAGGCUCCAAUUAGGUAAACUCUCCAAAGAAUCCAGGUGCCAGGGUUCUGAAAUAACCAUGUUCUAAAAGGAUUGAAAAUAUGCAGGUCACAAAGGACACUUUCUCUGCUCUGAGCAAUAUGACAUAACCUUAGAAAGAAUGCUAGGUGAAUGUCUAAUGACACUGAAACCCACAGUCAUCUUGUGAAUUUCUACCUUUAAUGAUACAGGAAACUAAAGAAUAAACAGAAGUUGCAGACCUGACUUUCCAUUCCACAGGGUGACUAUUCCCACCACAGGGUAUAGAUCAUGAUUGCUGGUAUCUUCAUUUUCAUCCCAACACCAUCAAAAAAAAAAAAAAAAAAUCACCAGGGGCUGGGGACUGGCUCAGCUGGGGGACUGCUUGCCACGUAAGCACGAGGACCUGAGUUUGGAAACCGAGUAUUCAUGCAAAAAAAAAAAAAAAAAAAAAAAAAAAA